CUUAAGCUUAUAGGAUUUACACUUCGUGUAGCAACACGGGGGGAUUAGGGUUGGUUAGGGGUGAAAGGCCGAUCAAAUUGUUUGAUAUCUUGAUCUAUAGGAAAAAUAUCAAGUAUUAAGAUAGAUUAAAAAUGGUUAGGUUUUUAGUGCACACUUAAUAGUUAAACCAGGUAACUAGUAGGUUUAACAGUUACUAUGUCGGCUUGCUUAUCAUAAAUUAACUGACGGUUGUGAAGAGUACUAUAGGAUUUUAUUUUAUUAAUUGUAAGGUACUUAAUGUAAAUAUUAGUAUAUUAUUUAUAUUAUUUAUAGGAACUCGGCAAACUUUUACUCAACUGUUUAACAAAAACAUUGCUAGAUGGUAUUACGUCUGGUUAUUCCUGCUCCAUGAUAUGUUUUAAAUAGCCGCAGUACCCUGACUGUGCAAAGGUAGCAUAAUCAGUUGACUUAUAAUUGAAGUCUGGAAUGAAUGGAUUAAUGGGUAAACGCUGUCUUUAUUUAAGUAGUAGAAUUUACUAAGCAAGUGAAAAUUCUUGUAAGGAUCUAUUAGACGAGAAGACCCUAGAAAUUUUUUGAAAUGUACUAUUAGGUAUUGGAUUUUGUUGGGGCGACAAAGUAACAAUUAACUUACUUUAGGCGAUAAGAAUUUUUUAUGAUAAAUAAAAUUACUCUAGGGAUAACAGCAUAAUUCAUAAGAGUUUGUGACCUCGAUGUUGGACUAGGAAAAGUAAUGUUCAGAAGAUAUUACUAUAAGCUCUGUUCGAGCU
rnacentral:rRNA from 1 species